GGGUCGAUGCCCGAGCGGUUAAUGGGGACGGACUGUAAAUCCGUUGGCGAUAUGUCUACGCUGGUUCAAAUCCAGCUCGGCCCA
rnacentral:tRNA from 1 species